ensembl:misc_RNA Metazoa_SRP Metazoan signal recognition particle RNA
GCUGGGCAUGCUGGUGCAUGCCUGUAGUCCCAGCUACCUGGGAGGCUGAGAUGGGAGGAUCACUUGAGCCCAGGAGGUCCAAGCUGCAGUGAGCCAUGAUUGUGCUAUUGCAGUCCAGCCUGGGUGACAAAGUGAGACCCUGUGUCCC